GGCGACGUGGCCAAGUGGUUAAGGCAGGGGUCUGCAAAACCCCGAUCGUGGGUUCGAUUCCCACCGUCGCCUCCA
rnacentral:tRNA from 1 species